GACAGAGGUGGCAAGCGUUGUUCGGAUUUAUUGGGUGUAAAGGGCAGGUAGGCGGCCGGGCAAGUCUGAUGUGAAAUCCCAUGGCUCAACCGUGGAACUGCAUUGGAAACUGCCUGGCUUGAGUACCGGAGAGGUGAAGGGAAUUCUCGGUGUAAGGGUGAAAUCUGUAGAUAUCGAGAGGAACACCAGUGGCGAAGGCGCUUCACUGGCCGGUAACUGACGCUGAACUGCGAAAGCAAAGGGAGCAAACAGG
rnacentral:rRNA from 1 species